rnacentral:rRNA from 1 species
GAUGAACGCUGGCGGCGUGCCUAAUACAUGCAAGUCGAGCGGUAACACUUCGGGUGACGAGCGGCGGACGGCUGAGUAACACGUAGGAACGUACCCCAAAGUGAGGGAUAACUGCUCGCAAGAGUAGCUAAUACCGCAUGUGCUCUAAGGAGUAAAGCUUUGGCGCUUUGGGAACGGCCUGCGCAUGAUUAGCUUGUUGGUGAGGUAAAAGCUCACCAAGGCGACGAUCAUUAGCUGGUCUGAGAGGAUGAUCAGCCAGACUGGGACUGAGACACGGCCCAGACUCCUACGGGAGGCAGCAGUAGGGAAUUUUCCACAAUGGGCGAAAGCCUGAUGGAGCAACGCCGCGUGCAGGAUGAAUGCCUUCGGGUUGUAAACUGCUUUUAUAUGUGACGAAUAUGACGGUAGCAUAUGAAUAAGGAUCGGCUAACUCCGUGCCAGCCGCCGCGGUAA